UGGGCUACAGUGUGGAGUUUGUAUGUCCUCCCGGUGUUCGCGUGGGUUCUCUCCGGGUUCUCCGGCUUCCUCCCAAAGACAUGCAUUAGGUCAUUAUUCAUUGGUCACUACAAAUCGCCCGUAGUUGUGAGUGUGUGUGUGAAUGGUUAUGUCUCUAUAUGUUGCCCGUGCCCUGUCCAGGGUGUACCCCGCCUCUCGCCCAAAGACAGCUGGGAUAGGCUCCAGCCCCCACCCACGACCCCGCAUGGGAACUAGCGGCAGAAGAUGGAUGGAUGAGCAUGUGACGAUUACGCAGGAGCUCACCUGGUAGGUGGGGCAGCCCAGACAUACCUGGAGGGAGCCUCAUUAUUAGAAAGGCAGGAGUCCUAGGAGUUUGAAGAGGCACUAGAGAGGAGAAGAGGCACACAGCCAGCGUGAUAUGCCAUAGGACUCACCCAGCCACAAACGUCAGGAGCAACUUACAUCUGCUGAAGAGCAGCAUCAGCACCAGUGCCAGGCAGCUGAUGACUAAGGCUUAGGCCUCAAUCCUGCAGCCGGGGCAUCGCCAGGCUGAUGGUGCCUCGCUGGGAGAAGCUUUCUCACACCAACACCACUCAGCUCUGCGAUUCCAGUUAAAUUCUGUACUAAGGUUUGUCACUUGUGUGUGGCCUCUUUCAGACAUCCAGCGACUGGCUUUUGGAGUAGAAAGGCAGGACUUCAUACACACUAAUUUUAGGAAUACAGAAACAGAAAGCUGCCAACAGAGGAAGAAAUCAGCUCAACGUCCGUUUUCACUUCAUUUUAAUGUGUCAGAGAGUGAAAGUGAGCCCUCCACUGGCUCCUGAGUCACCUGUAGGCUGCUAAAAUGAGAUUCAGACCAAUACUGGUGUUAAAAAGGCUGUACAUGACUUUCACAUUAAAAGCAUAACUGACCGAU